AGGACGAACGCUGGCGGCGUGCUUAACACAUGCAAGUCGAGCGGUAAGGCCCUUUCGGGGGUACACGAGCGGCGAACGGGUGAGUAACGCGUGAGUAAUCUGCCCUCCACUUGGGGAUAAGCUUCGGAAACGGGGUCUAAUACCUGAUACGACAACUACCUGCAUGGGUUGGUUGUGGAAAGUUUUUUCGGUGGGGGAUGUGCUCGCGGCCUAUCAGCUUGUUGGUGGGGUAAUGGCCUACCAAGGCUUCGACGGGUAGCCGGCCUGAGAGGGUGACCGGCCACACUGGGACUGAGACACGGCCCAGACUCCUACGGGAGGCAGCAGUGGGGAAUAUGGACAAUGGGCGGAAGCCUGAUCCAGCAACGCCGCGUGAGGGAUGGACGGCCUUCGGGUUGUAAACCUCUUUCAGUACCGACGAAGCGCCCGUUGUGGUGGUGACGGUAGGUACAGAAGAAGCACCGGCCAACUACGUACCAGCAGCCGC
rnacentral:rRNA from 1 species